UACGUAGGGUGCAAGCGUUGUCCGGAAUUAUUGGGCGUAAAGAGCUCGUAGGCGGCUUGUCGCGUCGUUCGUGAAAACCUGCAGCUCAACUGCAGGCUUGCGGUCGAUACGGGCAGGCUGGAGUUCGGUAGGGGAGACUGGAAUUCCUGGUGUAGCGGUGGAAAUGCGCAGAUAUCAGGAGGAACACCGGUGGCGAAGGCGGGUCUCUGGGCCGAUACUGACGCUGAGGAGCGAAAGCGUGGGGAGCGAACAGG
rnacentral:rRNA from 1 species